rnacentral:misc_RNA from 1 species
GACUGAGACCUUCUGACGUCACGAGUAGCAACAAAGGCGAAGGACGAGAAGAGGAAGUAACUGCGCUUUAGAAUUUCUCCGUGUUUUAUCGAGUCUGAACGAAUUACUGGCGAUUCUGAACGAUGGGGGCAGUAUUGGGAGUGUGUGGUGCAGCCCAGCUGGCAUGUUGCUGUGGAUCAGCAGCGUGCAGUUUGUGCUGCGCUGCGUGUCCAUCAUGCAAGAACUCCACCUCCAGUCGCAUCAUGUAUGCCGUGAUGAUGUUGCUAGGUACCAUUGUGGCCUGCAUCAUGCUCUCACCUGGCCUUCAAACUGCACUUGAAAAGGUUCCUUUUUGCGAGCAAGAAGGUGCUGAAGCUUCCAUUACAGAUGCUGUCACCAAUACUGUUCAGUUGGAUUGCUCUGGGAUUGUAGGCUACUUGGCUGUGUACCGAUUGUGCUUUGCGAUGUCACUUUUCUUCUUUGUGAUGGCGCUGCUCAUGGUGGGAGUGAAAUCCAGCAAAGAUCCUCGGGCUGCAAUCCAGAAUGGCUUCUGGGGGAUCAAGUAUCUGAUAUUGAUCGGAGCCAUUGUUGGCGCAUUCUUCAUUCCGCAUGGACAGUUUGGACAAGUUUGGAUGUACUUUGGAAUGAUUGGUGGAUUCCUGUUCAUCCUCAUCCAGUUGGUGCUCAUCAUUGACUUUGCCCACUCUUGGGCAGAGGCUUGGGUCGAUAAAUAUGAGGAAACGGAGAGCAAGGGAUGGUACUGUGCCUUGCUCUCCUGCACCUUCUUCAACUAUGCACUGGCCAUCACUGCUGUGGUACUUUUCUACGUUUUCUACACCACGACUGACAGCUGCAGCUUGCAUAAAUUCUUCAUCUCCUUCAAUUUGAUCCUUUGUGCCAUUGUGAGCAUUAUCAGCAUCCUGCCCAAGAUCCAGGACUCCCAGCCCCGCUCUGGACUCCUUCAGGCUUCAGUGAUCACACUGUACACCAUGUACCUUACCUGGUCUGCCAUGACCAAUGCUCCUGACAAGAACUGCAAGCCUAACUGGGACUCACUCUUAGAUAAUGAAGGACAAGCCACCCCUACUGAUGAGCCACCAAAGAACCAUGAACCAACCUUUGAUGGAGAAUCCAUUGCCUCUCUUGUUAUUUGGUUCUGCUGUGUGCUCUACUCAUCCAUCCGCACUGCCUCCAACUCCCAAGCCUCAAAGCUCACCAUGUCUGACAAGGUUCUCCUUAAGGAUGACUCCACCCGCCGGAACUCAGGAGACAUUCCUCUGGUGACCAGUGAGGUGCAGCAAGGUGGUGCAGGUGAUCCAGAGGCUGGUGAUGGCCACCACGUGUGGGACAAUGAGGAUGAGGGUGUGGCCUACUCAUGGUCCUUCUUCCACAUCAUGUUUGGGCUGGCCACUCUGUACGUCAUGAUGACCCUCACCAACUGGUUCACCCCCAACUCUAACCUCACCACUCUCUCUAGCAACAUGGCUGCAGUUUGGGUCAAGAUUGUGUCCAGCUGGAUCUGCCUGGCCCUGUACACAUGGACAUUGGUGGCCCCAAUCAUUCUCUCUAACCGUACCUUUGACUAAGCUUAACCAGCGACUCCCACCACCUCAGUGGGAAGCAGUCCACUACUGCAGGAUGGAUAUUUCAACAAAAAGUGAAUGUACUGCAGCUUAACUUGUUUGUCCCACACAACCCACCACAUAAUAUUGCCGCAUCAGCCAUUGUGCUGCACUGUUAGUGAGGAAAAAACAUUCUUGUCAUAUUAUGCCUCUCAGUUAUGUCACAAGUAUUUUAAGAGAUUUUUUCCUUGAAGUAUUGCCAUGCCAUGCUUAACUAAAUGUAUACCAGGCUGUCAUUCGUUCCCAUUAGAGAUGAUCUAAGGUAAUGCAAGAUGUGGAGAAGCCAAUAUGUUAUUUACUCAGUAAUGAUUUUAUGAUUAGUAUGGGCAUUGAAUUCAUAUCCCUUGUUUUUCUAAUUUAUAUGACAAUAGAAAAGUUUUAACAGUUAUUUGUGUGUUGUGAACUAAUGCAUAGGAGCAUACAAUAUAAAACUGGAGUAGCAGGUUUUAUUUACAGGAGUAAAGAAUUAAUGGGUGUUAGAACAUUGAGACUAGAUCCAUGUUAUUAAUACCUGCUGUUAAUCAAUAAGUCUCAUAUCUUAUUGCAUAAGAUGUUGAUUUAUAGAAGGUAACAUCAACAUUGAACAAGGAUUUACUGUAUUAUCUAUUCAUUGAGGUUGUAUGUGCUAUCUUUAUCAAAAUUCUAUACUUACUUAACUACGUGUGUGUGUGUGUGUGUGUGUGUGUGUGUGUGUGUGUGUAUAUAUAUAUAUAUAU